GGCCCUAUCGUCUAGCCCGGUCCAGGACACCACCCUUUCACGGUGGGAACGUGGGUUCAAAUCCCGCUAGGGUCA
rnacentral:tRNA from 1 species